ACAACGGAGAGUUUGAUCCUGGCUCAGGACUAACGCUGGCGGCGUGCCUAACACAUGCAAGUCAAGGAGAACGUUCCCUUCGGGGAACUAUUAAACUGGCGGACGGGUGAGUAAUGCAUAGGUAACCUGCCCUGGAGACUGGGAUAACUUCGCGAAAGCGAUGCUAAUACCGGAUAAUGCAGCGGACCCUAAGGGGUACAGUUGUUAAAGCGGGCUUCGGCUCGUACUUCAAGAUGGGCCUAUGUCCGAUUAGCUUGUUGGUGAGGUAAAAGCUUACCAAGGCUAUGAUCGGUAGCUGGUCUGAGAGGAUGAUCAGCCACACUGGGAUUGAGAUACGGCCCAGACUCCUACGGGAGGCAGCAGUGGGGAAUCUUGCGCAAUGGGGGAAACCCUGACGCAGCAACGCCGCGUGACCGAUGAAGCUUUUCGGAGUGUAAAGGUCUGUCGUGAGGGAAGAAUGGCUUCUAUUCAAAUAGUUUAGAGGCAUGACGGUACCUCACAAGAAAGCACCGGCUAACUUCGUGCCAGCAGCCGCGGUAAUACGAGGGGUGCUAGCGUUGUCCGGAAUCACUGGGCGUAAAGGGUACGUAGGCGUCCUGAUAAGCAUUGAUUGAAAUCCUUCGGCUUAACCGGAGAACUGGUCAGUGAACUGUCAGGAUAGAGUUUGGUAGAGGAAAGCGGAAUUCCCGGUGUAGCGGUGAAAUGCGUAGAUAUCGGGAGGAACAUCGACGGCGAAGGCAGCUUUCUGGGCCAAUACUGACGCUGAGGUACGAAAGCGUGGGUAGCGAACAGGAUUAGAUACCCUG
rnacentral:rRNA from 1 species